GACGUGGAGGAUCUGCUCCGCUUCCUGCGGCCGCUCCACGAGGGAACCUUGGUGCUCGUGGCCUCCUACGACGACCCGGCCACCAACACGUCCGGAACAGCCGCGGCUCCAACAAAUACGAGGGGUGGCCGGAGGCGCUGGAGCUGGGGGGCUGCGUGCCCCGGAGACCCCCGGGGUGACCCCAAAACCACCGGGGGACCCCAAAA